AAAGAGUUAUUAUUCAGAAAGAGUUACUGGGUCACCACUGAACAUGGUCCAUAAUAUUUCUCCUCAAACUCAAAUGAAAAUUCAACUUGUUUUAUUUACCAGCUCAUAAAGUUCCUGAAGAUGGAUAAUUUUUUCUCAUGAGCUUCCAGGAGCUGGUGUCAGCACACCACUGUUUGUCUGAUGAGUGAGUAACACUUCCUGGAGAAGGUGAAACCUCAAGUGAGUCUUAACAGAAAGCCAAAAAGAAGCGAUAGGAAGGAAGCGACACUGUGCCUUAUGAAAGUUUGGUUAUGAAAAACCUUCUAGAGAAUUAACUUUGAGUCAACAUUCCCUACUCCUGUUGUUUUGAGAAGAGCCUAUUCUCUUCUUGAAAAAUAUGACAAGAAAAUCACGAAUACGUUCCAGUGCAGAAUAUUACUGGGGUCAAAAAGGACUUAAAAAAUUGACUUUCUGCAAGAAUCUGCAAAGGGAAAAACAUAAGGCCUCUCCAAUGGAGAUAUUUUCAAUCUUUGAAGGAGAAUUGGAAAAGUAAGUAUAAAAUGACAAACACCUUUGUAUCUACUGACCUUUUCUGAUACUCAUCAGCCCUUACAAAUGCCUGAGCAGGAAGAACAACUUUCCUCUUAGUCCUGUAGAUGAGGAGUUCAUUGAGACCCCAACCACCAGCUUCUCAGAUUGUCUUGGGUCCUUUGCAUUCAGCACUCAAUCACAUUUGCAUACUUUUGACAUCCUCUUAGAUAAUUUCCCUGCUGUGCCUGAGAAGCAAAUCAUACUAUUCUAGUCUUUCUUGUAUUUACAUGCAGUGCUACCUUUGCAUUUUCUCUAGCUGUGAACGCUGUUUUCUUCUCCCUGGUGCUCUGAUUACUUGAUAUAUUCAUGACAUUGGUACUCGGAUCUUUUCCCCACUCUGGUGUAAGGUGGAGAGGAGAGAAAGCACCGAAUAGGGUCUUCGUAGAUGAUUGCUGCUUUCAACUUAGUUCAUAAGCAGCUACUUCAUUCACCUCAGUUUCCUCCUUUAAAAUAAAAUGAUGUGUUUGGAUUGAAAGAUCUCAGUUUGAGAUCACCGUAUGUCUGAGAUUUUCUUGCACAAUCCCUCAUAUUUGUAUUCUAAUUGUGAAUGUAUCUAUGACAAACUGUAUUCUAAUUUUGAGAUAGUAAAGCAUGGUCAAUAUAUUACUAAUUUAUCCAUCUUCUUUUCCAGAUCUAAAGAAAUGUGACCCUUGUGAGGCCAGAAAGGUAAGGGGAUUAAUCUGUUUAGUAGUAAAUGGAUGCCUUCUGAGAGCCAAGAAGUUUAGCCAAUGGGUUCAUUUUCCAGUUUUAAUGAU
rnacentral:lncRNA from 10 species